rnacentral:rRNA from 1 species
UACGAAGGGGGCGAGCGUUGUUCGGAUUUACUGGGCGUAAAGGGCGCGCAGGCGGCUCAUUUUGUCAGGCGUGAAAGCCCCGGGCUUAACCUGGGAACUGCGCUUGAGACGGGUGGGCUAGAGAUCGGGAGAGGAGAGUGGAAUUCCCAGUGUAGAGGUGAAAUGCGUAGAGAUUAGGAAGAACACCAGUGGCGAAGGCGACUUACUGGACUGUAACUGACGCUGAGGCAUGAAAGCGUGGGGAGCAAACAGG